rnacentral:rRNA from 1 species
CCUACGGGUGGCAGCAGUGAGGAAUAUUGGUCAAUGGACGAGAGCCUGAACCAGCCAAGUAGCGUGAAGGAAGACUGCCCUAUGGUUUGUAAACUUCUUUUAUAAAGGAGUAAAAAGAGGCACGUGUACCUUAUUGCAUGUACUCUAAGAAUGAGCAUCGGCUAACUCCGGGCCAGCAGCCGCGGGAAUACGGAGGAUGCGAGCGUUAUCCGGAUUUAUUGGGUGUAAAGGGAGCGGAGGUGGGAAGUUAAGGCAGUUGUGAAAGUUUGCGGCUAAACCCUUAAAUUGCAAUUGAAAUGGGCGUUCUUGAGUACAGGAGAGGUAAGCGGAAUUCGUGGUGUAGCGGUGAAAUGCUUAGAUAGCACGAAGAACCCCGAUGGCGAAGGCAGCUUACUAAACUGUGACUGACAUGGAGGCUCGAAAGUGUGGGUAUCGAACAGGAUUAGAUACCCGAGUAGUC